UACGGGGGGGGCAAGCGUUGUUCGGAAUUACUGGGCGUAAAGGGCUCGUAGGCGGCCAACUAAGUCCGACGUGAAAUCCCAAGGCUUAACCUUGGAACUGCGUCGGAUACUGGAUGGCUUGAAUUCGGGAGAGGAUGCAGAAUUCCAGGUGUAGCGGUGAAAUGCGUAGAUAUCUGGAGGAAUACCGGUGGCGAAGGCGGCAUCCUGGACCGACAUUGACGCUGAGGAGCGAAAGCUGAGGGGAGCAAACGGG
rnacentral:rRNA from 1 species